CUAUCUCUUCUAUUAUAGAGUGUAUUUGGUAUUAUAGUAGUUGUUGUGGUCAUGGUUUGAAAAAAAAUAUUUUAUAAAAAGUACUUUUAAUUGAA